rnacentral:rRNA from 1 species
UUUGAUCAUGGCUCAGAUUGAACGCUGGCGGCAGGCCUAACACAUGCAAGUCGAGCGGUAGAGAGAAGCUUGCUUCUCUUGAGAGCGGCGGACGGGUGAGUAAUGCCUAGGAAUCUGCCUGGUAGUGGGGGAUAACGUUCGGAAACGGACGCUAAUACCGCAUACGUCCUACGGGAGAAAGCAGGGGACCUUCGGGCCUUGCGCUAUCAGAUGAGCCUAGGUCGGAUUAGCUAGUUGGUGAGGUAAUGGCUCACCAAGGCGACGAUCCGUAACUGGUCUGAGAGGAUGAUCAGUCACACUGGAACUGAGACACGGUCUAGACUCCUACGGGAGGCAGCAGUGGGGAAUAUUGGACAAUGGGCGAAAGCCUGAUCCAGCCAUGCCGCGUGUGUGAAGAAGGUCUUCGGAUUGUAAAGCACUUUAAGUUGGGAGGAAGGGUUGUAGAUCAAUACUCUGCAAUUUUGACGUUACCGACAGAAUAAGCACCGGCUAACUCUGUGCCAGCAGCCGCGGUAAUACAGAGGGUGCAAGCGUUAAUCGGAAUUACUGGGCGUAAAGCGCGCGUAGGUGGUUUGUUAAGUUGGAUGUGAAAUCCCCGGGCUCAACCUGGGAACUGCAUUCAAAACUGACUGACUAGAGUAUGGUAGAGGGUGGUGGAAUUUCCUGUGUAGCGGUGAAAUGCGUAGAUAUAGGAAGGAACACCAGUGGCGAAGGCGACCACCUGGACUAAUACUGACACUGAGGUGCGAAAGCGUGGGGAGCAAACAGGAUUAGAUACCCUGGUAGUCCACGCCGUAAACGAUGUCAACUAGCCGUUGGAAGCCUUGAGCUUUUAGUGGCGCAGCUAACGCAUUAAGUUGACCGCCUGG